rnacentral:rRNA from 1 species
AGAGUUUGAUCCUGGCUCAGGACGAACGCUGGCGGCGUGCCUAACACAUGCAAGUCGAACGGAGUUGAAAGGAGCUUGCUUUUUUCAACUCAGUGGCGGACGGGUGAGUAACGCGUGAGUAACCUGCCUUUCAGAGGGGGAUAACGUUCUGAAAAGAACGCUAAUACCGCAUAAGAUUGUAGUUUCGCAUGGGACAGCAAUCAAAGGAGCAAUCCGCUGAAAGAUGGACUCGCGUCCGAUUAGAUAGUUGGCGGGGUAACGGCCCACCAAGUCGACGAUCGGUAGCCGGACUGAGAGGUUGAUCGGCCACAUUGGGACUGAGACACGGCCCAGACUCCUACGGGAGGCAGCAGUGAGGGAUAUUGGGCAAUGGGGGAAACCCUGACCCAGCAACGCCGCGUGAGGGAUGACGGUUUUCGGAUUGUAAACCUCUGUCCUCUGUGAAGAUAGUGACGGUAGCAGAGGAGGAAGCUCCGGCUAACUACGUGCCAGCAGCCGCGGUAAUACGUAGGGAGCAAGCGUUGUCCGGAUUUACUGGGUGUAAAGGGUGCGUAGGCGGAUUGGCAAGUCAGAAGUGAAAUCCAUGGGCUUAACCCAUGAACUGCUUUUGAAACUGUUAGUCUUGAGUGAAGUAGAGGUAGGCGGAAUUCCCGGUGUAGCGGUGAAAUGCGUAGAGAUCGGGAGGAACACCAGUGGCGAAGGCGGCCUACUGGGCUUUAACUGACGCUGAAGCACGAAAGCAUGGGUAGCAAACAGGAUUAGAUACCCUGGUAGUCCAUGCCGUAAACGAUGAUUACUAGGUGUUGGAGGAUUGACCCCUUCAGUGCCGCAGUUAACACAAUAAGUAAUCCACCUGGGGAGUACGACCGCAAGGUUGAAACUCAAAGGAAUUGACGGGGGCC